UCCAAAAUAAUUAGUUCAUUUUUCGAAAUAUCAAAGAAAUUUCAAACAUCAUUUUCAUUCCAAAUCUACAAGUAGCAUGAAGUUGGUUAUGAAUGGUUCGCUCGAACAGCUGUUUCUUGACAUUUUGUUUUGUUUGUGUGUGAGUAAAAGAGUGUAAGAAACUGCGUUAGGGACUUUAUAAAGGCAUUUGACAUUACCUCUUUGUUCGCAUGAUCCCAAAAUUGCCAUUUUCAUAAAUUCCUCAAUAAUCACGGUCCGAUUUGUUUAAAACCAGAUUUUAAUCUAGCCUCAAUAAAUGGGGCAGUGGACAAAUCUCUUCGCAGAAAAAGAACGAACCGCUAAGGAUGAUCUUGAGUCGGUAAUGUAUUCGCUGUGGGUCCUUGCAGGUAUACCAGUAGAACCAUGAACGGAUGGUAAACUUCUGUUUGGAAUGAUUGAUUAUCUUCCAGAAGGUUAUAUUCUGGCCAAAAACCUUGAAAAAGGGAAGAAGUAUGCUAUAGCGAAAUUGAUGAAAAAUGCAAAUAUUUCAAGAAUCCGCAUGUGAGAAAAGUAUUCGAAGACAUUUGGAACAAAGAAUUUUUCGAUUACAAUACAGUUAAACGGAUGUAGGAAACUGCUAUCAGUGACAUUAAUAAAAAAUUACAAAGAGUUUUAAGAACGGACUCAACAAAACAAUGAAAUAUGUAACGCAUUGAUUUAUUCAAUGAAGUGAACAGGUAAAAAUCUACGAACACCACAAUCAAGAUCAGAUUAAUGCAUUGUAUCUGAUACAUACAAAAAGUCAAAUAAAUACUUUAUUGAGUAUUAUAUCGUGUAAA